rnacentral:rRNA from 1 species
CGGACGGGCGAGUAAUGUCUGGGAAACUGCCCGAUGGAGGGGGAUAACUACUGGAAACGGUAGCUAAUACCGCAUAACGUCGCAAGACCAAAGAGGGGACCUUCGGGCCUCUUGCCAUCGGAUGUGCCCAGAUGGGAUUAGCUAGUAGGUGGGGUAACGGCUCACCUAGGCGACGAUCCCUAGCUGGUCUGAGAGGAUGACCAGCCACACUGGAACUGAGACACGGUCCAG